rnacentral:rRNA from 1 species
GAUGAACGCUAGCGGCAGGCCUAAUACAUGCAAGUCGAGGGGCAGCACGGUAGCAAUACUGGUGGCGACCGGCGCACGGGUGCGUAACACGUAUGCAACCUGCCUUCAACUGGGAGAUAGCCCGGGGAAACUCGGAUUAAUACCCCAUAACACAGUGAAACAGCAUUGUUUUAUGUUAAAGCUCCGGCGGUUGAAGAUGGGCAUGCGUUCGAUUAGCUAGUUGGUGUAGGUAAUGGCUCACCAAGGCUACGAUCGAUAGGGGGUCUGAGAGGAUGAUCCCCCACACUGGUACUGAGAUACGGACCAGACUCCUACGGGAGCAGCAGUAGGGAAUAUUGGGUCAAUGGACGCAAGUCUGAACCAGCCAUGCCGCGUGCAGGAAGACGGCCCUCUGGGUUGUAAACUGCUUUUGAUAGGGAACAAAUGCCACUUGCGAGUGGAGCUGAGUGUACCUAUAGAAUAAGCACCGGCUAAACUCCGUGCCAGCAGCCGACGG